UUUCAACGUCACCGAGGAAUGCUGCUGGAAAUCAUCACUCAUCGGAUAAGGUGACUCUCCAACGAGAUGGCCUACGUUUCAGAACUUGGCAGACGGAAAUGCGGGUAGUGAUUCGGAGAAAGCUGUGCCAGGAGUUUCAGAUAAGUCAACAGACUAUACCGCACCAUCUUCAGAAUCACUUUCAAU